rnacentral:rRNA from 1 species
GAUGAACGCUGGCGGCGUGCCUAAUACAUGCAAGUCGAGCGAACGGACGAGAAGCUUGCUUCUCUGAUGUUAGCGGCGGACGGGUGAGUAACACGUGGAUAACCUACCUAUAAGACUGGGAUAACUUCGGGAAACCGGAGCUAAUACCGGAUGAUAUUUUGAACCGCAUGGUUCAAAAGUGAAAGACGGUCUUGCUGUCACUUAUAGAUGGAUCCGCGCUGCAUUAGCUAGUUGGUAAGGUAACGGCUUACCAAGGCAACGAUGCAUAGCCGACCUGAGAGGGUGAUCGGUCACACUGGAACUGAGACACGGUCCAGACUCCUACGGGGGGCAGCAGUAGGGAAUCUUCCGCAAUGGGCGAAAGCCUGACGGAGCAACGCCGCGUGAGUGAUGAAGGUCUUCGGAUCGUAAAACUCUGUUAUUAGGGAAGAACAUAUGUGUAAGUAACUGUGCACAUCUUGACGGUACCUAAUCAGAAAGCCACGGCUAACUACGUG